CCCAGCAAUUAACAUGGUGGCUUUGCUUAAUGAAGCAAUACGUUAAUAUUUUUAUGGUUUAGCAAAAUACUGAAACAGCUUAAGCGAAUUACUAAAGGACAGUCUCUCAAUCUGAUUUUAACAUUUCCUGACUAAAUGGUUUAAACGUUUGUUAGCAUGAUGCAUUAGACGUAUGUGUAUUUUUGUUUAUAGCAUUAACAACAAGCUAACACAUUUUUACGUAGACCUUUAAAUCAACAACAGUUCUUUUAGCGACUCGCAAAGAAAGUAGGUCAACAUAUUUCUCAGUCAUCUUAUUUUCGUAUAAGACAAUAUGCCAGUGCACUCGAGAGAAAAGAAAGAAAUUAAUCAUGAAGAAAUGGAGGUGGAUUUUGCAGAGCAAGAAGGGAGCAGUUCAGAAGACGAGGAUACAGAGAGCUCAUCUGUGUCUGAUGAUGGAGAAUGUUCAGAAAUGGAUGAUGAAAACUGCGAAAGGAGAAGAAUGGAAUGCAUUGAUGAAAUGACCGAUCUGGAAAAGCAGUUCACUGACCUCCAAGACCAGUUAUAUAAAGAGAGACUGAAUCAAGUUGAUGCCAAACUCCAAGAAGUGAUGUCGGGAAAGGCCCCUGAGUACCUGGAGCCUCUCGCAACUCUUCAGGAGAAUAUACAAAUUAGAACAAAAGUUGCAGGUAUCUACAGAGAGUUGUGCCUGGACUCUGUGAAGAAUAAAUAUGACUGUGAAACUCAAGCAGCUUUCCAGCACUGGGAGAGUGAGAAGCUGUUAUUAUCUGAUACAGUUCAAAGUGAAUUAGAGGAGAAGAUCAGACGUUUAGAGGAAGACCGUCAUAGUAUAGAUAUUACAUCAGAGCUCUGGAAUGAUGAGUUACAAUCAAGAAAAAACAAAAAGAAAGAUCCCUUCAGUCCAGACAAAAAGAAAAAGCCUGUGGCUGUGUCAGGCCCGUAUAUUGUUUACAUGCUGCAAGACCUGGAUAUACUGGAGGACUGGACUGCUAUCAGAAAGGCCAUGGCAACAUUAGGACCUCACAGAGUAAAGACAUGUCUCCUUUUCAAAGAGUGACAAACAUCAGCACAAUGCCCACUCAGAAGAUGGACGCGUUUUUUACGAUGGGGAAUGGUACAGCCGCGGGCAAGCCAUAUGUAUCGAAAAGAAAGAUGAGUAUCCUACGAGCGCUAUAAUAACUACAAUCAAUCACCAUGAAGUGUGGUUCAAACGAGUCGAUGGGAGCAAGUCAAAACUUUACAUCUCGCAUCUUCAGAAAGGCAAAUACACCAUAAAACAUGCCUGAUCUUCAUGAGACCUUUUAAGUGUGCCAGUUGGGAAUGUCUAAAGGGAUAGUUCACCCAAAAAUGAAAAUUCUGUCUUAAUUUACUCACCCUCAUGUUGUUCCAAAUUCAUAUGACUUUCUUCUGUGGAACACGAAAAUGAGAUGUUAGGCAGAAUGUUACCCUCAUAUUUCUGUUUUCAAUAUCUCCUUUUGUGUUCCACAGAAGAAAGGAUUAUGUGUUUGGAACAGCAAGAGGGUGGUGAGUAAAUGAUGAUGGAAUCUUUAUUUUUAGGCAAAUUAUGCCUUUAACAGUAUCUUUUUGUGUACAGUUUAUCAUGUUUAAAUACCUUUUUUAUGUUUAAAAACAGAUCUGUUGGUGUAUUGUCUGUCUGUAUGAGGAAAACAGAGUUAAUGUUCUUUUUACUAUAAAUUCAAUGCAGUGCCGUUUGUAUUAUUAUUUCUAUGAACAAGGUCAAAAAUGUAAUAUAAUUACAGGCUUGUUGACUGCCAUGAGGUGUGGUCCUUUUGUAUUUUGACUGUGGGGUUCAGUUUCCAGUCAAAUUCUACUUGUUAAAACAAAGAUAAAUUUUUUUGUGCUUUUUCAGUUAAUGGACUUAACUUGCUGAAUUCAAAUGGAGUGUUUUCCUACUUUUUUUAAAUUUAUUUUGUUUAACAUGUCUGCCUCAACACAGUUACAAUACAAAUUACAUUUUGCAACGUUGCAGAUGCCAUGUUAAGUGGCUUUCUUUGAGAGUACAAUUAAAUGGUCUUAUUUUUGCAUCAUUUUAUAAUGAAAUACAGAUGGGCGAUGCAUUUUAGGAGUAUAAGAAGUAAACAUGACAUUAUCACAACUUCCUAGAGUCUUAAAGAUGUGAUCUUGCUGCUCUAUUUACAGUCUGAACAAGCCAUAAAUGUGGUAAAUAAUUUAUAUUCAUUAUAGUGUGCAUUUCAGUUCUGGUAAAAGUCAUUGGUUCAGUGUUCUUAUCAUUUGUGGUUACAGCACCACCUUCUGUUUUACUUCUGUACUGUGCCCAUUGUUUUUAUUUUUCUGAAUUUUCCACAUUAUUAAUAAUUCUGUGCUGAAUGUAUUUGUAUUUUUUGUGUUUUCUUAUUAAAUUAUAUUGAACAAACUUUAAAAUGCAAUAUUUCAAUAUU